AAUUACACUCCAUGUCUCACUUUUUCUAAAGUUAUACAUUAGUGACUCAAAAAUAAAAAAUAUGCAUAAAUCUCUCAAUUGAUUUAAAAUCUUUUCAUUUAUACCUCAUUAUAAUUUCGAUACCAUUUUACCCCUAACUUCCCAUUAACACUGUUGAUUUUUUUUCGUACCUUAAUACCCACUCACUCCUUCUUCUCCAUCUAAAUCUCAGUGAGCUUCACUUUCUUCAACCUCCAUCACCGUCGCCACCCACGGCCCACGCUCCGACGACCACCUACGAUUUCCGUUUAUGCUCUAACAACCGCCAACGCCUGCCGCAAUCCUCAACAUCGACCAACAACCUUCUGUUAUAAUCUCAGUAACCUUUUCUUUCUCGAUUAGGGCAAAUUGAAUAGAUCGAACAGAUGUACGAGAUUUAUUGAAAUUGUAAUGCUGUUAUUUACAAAACUUUACUUUGUAGGCAUGAAGAAGAGACAGUAGGAAGUGCAAAAGGGAUGCAAUAAAGAGAACUACAAUUACCAUCAAAUCAAAUAUAGAGGCAGAUUAAUUGCAACAAAGCCAAAGUGUGCAGUUUUAGAGAAGCAUCUUUAAUUUUAAAGAUGAUGGUGCUUCCUCUGUUAUUCUUUUGUUUGCUUGCAUUGCCUGUACUUCUUUUUAUUGAAUGUUUGCUGUGAAAAUUCAUAUAGUAGUUGCGACAAUGCAAUUAAAAUUCAAAUUGAUGUGUUGAACUUCUCUUGUGCUGAUAUUCUUGCAUAUAUGCUUUAAAGAAAAUAAGAUUCUCAUGUAAGCUC